rnacentral:rRNA from 1 species
AGUCGCACGAAGGUUUCGGCCUUAGUGGCGGACGGGUGAGUAACGCGUAGGAAUCUAUCCAUGGGUGGGGGAUAACACUGGGAAACUGGUGCUAAUACCGCAUGAUACCUGAGGGUCAAAGGCGCAAGUCGCCUGUGGAGGAGCCUGCGUUCGAUUAGCUAGUUGGUGGGGUAAAGGCCUACCAAGGCGAUGAUCGAUAGCUGGUUUGAGAGGAUGAUCAGCCACACUGGGACUGAGACACGGCCCAGACUCCUACGGGAGGCAGCAGUGGGGAAUAUUGGACAAUGGGGGCAACCCUGAUCCAGCAAUGCCGCGUGUGUGAAGAAGGUCUUCGGAUUGUAAAGCACUUUCGACGGGGACGAUGAUGACGGUACCCGUAGAAGAAGCCCCGGCUAACUUCGUGCCAGCAGCCGCGGUAAUACGAAGGGGGCUAGCGUUGCUCGGAAUGACUGGGCGUAAAGGGCGUGUAGGCGGUUUGUACAGUCAGAUGUGAAAUCCCCGGGCUUAACCUGGGAGCUGCAUUUGAGACGUGCAGACUAGAGUGUGAGAGAGGGUUGUGGAAUUCCCAGUGUAGAGGUGAAAUUCGUAGAUAUUGGGAAGAACACCGGUGGCGAAGGCGGCAACCUGGCUCAUUACUGACGCUGAG